rnacentral:rRNA from 1 species
GAUCAUGGCUCAGGAUGAACGCUAGCUACAGGCUUAACACAUGCAAGUCGAGGGGCAGCAUGGUCUUAGCUUGCUAAGGCCGAUGGCGACCGGCGCACGGGUGAGUAACACGUAUCCAACCUGCCGUCUACUCUUGGACAGCCUUCUGAAAGGAAGAUUAAUACAAGAUGGCAUCAUGAGUUCGCAUGUUCACAUGAUUAAAGGUAUUCCGGUAGACGAUGGGGACG